UUACGGAAGGCAGCAGUCGAGAAUUUUUCACAAUGGGCGAAAGCCUGAUGGAGCGACGCCGCGUGGGGGAUGAAUGGCUUCGGCCCGUAAACCCCUGUCAUUCGCGAUCAAACCUUGUUAUUUAAAAGAUGACGAGCUGAUAGUAGCGGAAGAGGAAGGGACGGCUAACUCUGUGCCAGCAGCCGCGGUAAUACAGAGGUCCCAAGCGUUGUUCGGAUUCACUGGGCGUAAAGGGUGCGUAGGUGGUGAGGUAAGUCGGAUGUGAAAGCUCGGAGCUCAACUCCGAAAUGGCAUUGGAAACUACCUUGCUUGAGGGUUGGAGGGGGGACUGGUAUUCUCGGUGUAGCAGUGAAAUGCGUAGAUAUCGAGAGGAACACCAGUGGCGAAGGCGAGUCCCUGGACAACACCUGACACUGAGGCACGAAAGCUAGGGGAGCAAACAGGAUUAGAAACCCCAGUAGUCCA
rnacentral:rRNA from 1 species